rnacentral:lncRNA from 1 species
GUGGACAAGAUCCUAUGACAGAAAUGUUGUCUCUACUAAAACUGUGGAGCUUCUUCCGCCUAGCCAAGAUAUACACUCGCCGAACCCGAGAACCCUACCUCCAAAGCAGAGUUAUAGUUGUCGACGCCGACGAACGCGAAAAAGGUGAUGUCGACGUCGUUAAGGCUUCCAUCGAGGCUGAGGUUGCAUAUGUAAAGAGAAGUUGCAAUUCCAAAUUUAUUCCCUUGUGGACUUGAGUUCCAUUAUGCUGUUGUCCAUUGUAACACUAUAAUUUUGUCCUUAUCAGAUCGUCUCUUCGAUCCACUGCGGAGGACAUAAAUCCUUGUCCCUAAACAUAAACUUUUGAUGGACCAGAAUUACGCAGCUGAGGACGGAAAAUGUUGUUGAUCACUUAUACAACUAAUCCUAUAUAGUUAUCCUUUUCUGGUGUCAGAAAACCUACUAAACGUAUUGUCCAACUCGCUACUCUUUUUUUUUUUUGUAUGUAGAUGGACUAUGUAAAACUGUUUUCAAAGUUGUCCUUUGACUAUUUUAUUUCCUGUAGACAACAUCGCUGAAGACAACACUAAUGGACCACCAUUUAAGGGGAUUGACUCUUCUUUAUUAUCUAAUUAUUUAACUAAUCAAUUAUUUUCUGGGUAUUAGCGUACACUACUCUCAUUUAAUGCUCUCUUGGGCAGCUACCAAGUUUAUUUUAUUAUUUUCUUUGUUUAACCCAAUAUUUU